rnacentral:rRNA from 1 species
GGGGCGGUUAAUGGGAUGACAGCACAUGCAGUCGAACGAUGAUCCGGUGCUUGCACCGGGGAUUAGUGGCGAACGGGUGAGUAACACGUGAGUAACCUGCCCUUAACUCUGGGAUAAGCCUGGGAAACUGGGUCUAAUACCGGAUAUGACUCCUCAUCGCAUGGUGGGGGGUGGAAAGCUUUUUGUGGUUUUGGAUGGACUCGCGGCCUAUCAGCUUGUUGGUGAGGUAAUGGCUCACCAAGGCGACGACGGGUAGCCGGCCUGAGAGGGUGACCGGCCACACUGGGACUGAGACACGGCCCAGACUCCUACGGGAGGCAGCAGUGGGGAAUAUUGCACAAUGGGCGCAAGCCUGAUGCAGCGACGCCGCGUGAGGGAUGACGGCCUUCGGGUUGUAAACCUCUUUCAGUAGGGAAGAAGCGAAAGUGACGGUACCUGCAGAAGAAGCGCCGGCUAACUACGUGCCAGCAGCCGCGGUAAUACGUAGGGCGCAAGCGUUAUCCGGAAUUAUUGGGCGUAAAGAGCUCGUAGGCGGUUUGUCGCGUCUGCCGUGAAAGUCCGGGGCUCAACUCCGGAUCUGCGGUGGGUACGGGCAGACUAGAGUGAUGUAGGGGAGACUGGAAUUCCUGGUGUAGCGGUGAAAUGCGCAGAUAUCAGGAGGAACACCGAUGGCGAAGGCAGGUCUCUGGGCAUUAACUGACGCUGAGGAGCGAAAGCAUGGGGGAGCGAACAGGAUUAGAUACCCUGGUAGUCCAUGCCGUAAACGUUGGGCACUAGGUGUGGGGGGACAUUCCACGUUUUCCGCGCCGUAGCUAACGCAUUAAAGUGCCCCGCCUGGGGGAGUACGGCCGCAAGGGCUAAAAACUCAAAGGAAGUUGAC